AUUGAACGCUGGCGGCAUGCCUUACACAUGCAAGUCGAACGGCAGCACGGGAGCAAUCCUGGUGGCGAGUGGCGAACGGGUGAGUAAUAUAUCGGAACGUGCCCAGUCGUGGGGAUAACGUAGCGAAAGCUACGCUAAUACCGCAUACGAUCUAUGGAUGAAAGCGGGGGAUCGCAAGACCUCGCGCGAUUGGAGCGGCCGAUAUCAGAUUAGGUAGUUGGUGAGGUAAAGGCUCGCCAAGCCGACGAUCUGUAGCUGGUCUGAGAGGACGACCAGCCACACUGGGACUGAGACACGGCCCAGACUCCUACGGAGGCAGCAGUGGGGAAUUUUGGACAAUGGGCGCAAGCCUGAUCCAGCAAUGCCGCGUGCAGGAUGAAGGCCUUCGGUUGUAACGUA
rnacentral:rRNA from 1 species